rnacentral:rRNA from 1 species
AACGAACGCUGGCGGCAGGCUUAACACAUGCAAGUCGAACGCCCCGCAAGGGGAGUGGCAGACGGGUGAGUAACACGUGGGAACGUGCCUUUUGGUUCGGAACAACUCCGGGAAACUGGAGCUAAUACCGGAUACGAGGCGUGGGGGCAUCCCCAACGCCUGGAAAGAACUUCGGUCCAGGAUGAGCUCGCGGCCUAUCAGGUAGUUGGUGAGGUAACGGCUCACCAAGCCUACGACGGGUAGCCGGCCUGAGAGGGUGACCGGCCACACUGGGACUGAGACACGGCCCAGACUCCUACGGGAGGCAGCAGUGGGGAAUAUUGCGCAAUGGGCGAAAGCCUGACGCAGCGACGCCGCGUGAGGGAUGAAGGCCUUCGGGUUGUAAACCUCUUUCAGCGCCGAAGAAGCGAAAGUGACGGUAGGCGCAGAAGAAGCACCGGCUAACUUCGUGCCAGCAGCCGCCGUAAUAC